rnacentral:ncRNA from 1 species
AAUGUAGGCAAGGCAAGUCGGCAAAACAAAUCCGUAACUUCGGAACAAAAAUUGGCUCUAAAAGCUGGGACGAUCGGACUUCAAGCAUGCAGUAUAUGCUUAGCAAAGUUGCUCGAACUUGCUCGAACACGAAGAAUCUGACUGUAUUACUGAAACAAAACAUUUCAAUGACCGAUCAUCUGUGAUAACGCAAUGUGAUUUCAGGCAAGUGCUCUGAAUGUCAAAGUGAAGAAAUUCACAUCAUAUUACCGGAAUCUAAAAAUGAGCAUUAAAAAUAAUCAAGACUUUUCAAAAUUAUUAUUAUAG